rnacentral:misc_RNA from 1 species
GCGGCACCGUGGCAGUUGGCAUUGUGGUCUGUAGACUGCAGCAGCCGGUAGGACUCUGCGUCUCCUCCCGUCCUUCGGUUCUGCCUGCGGCGGACAGAUCUGCUGCUCGACUUCUCCGGUUGUCCCUGUGGCGGAUGGCACAUCGGCAAGCCAGGCAGCCAGCUCGUCAGCUCUAAAUCAGUUAGGAAAUAUUGAUUAUGAUCCGUGACGAUGUCAAACAGUGGAGGCAAGGGAUGUCGUCCCCGUGCCAAAUCCAUGCCACCCAAGAAGCAACUAGGUAUUUCUAGUUUCUUGCCUGAACCUCCAUCGCUGCCAUCUUCUUGGAAAGAUAGCACCAGUGGUGCCAAUUUCAUUUCAGGGACAAAGAGGACAUUAUGUGCAAGAGACAGUCAGGGGAUUCCAGGGUCUUCGUCUGUAGGAGCAAAGAGUGUUACUGCUGGUGAUGCUACUGCUCGUUUACCACUUGAACCAGGGAUUGAUGGUACUAGCACACAGGUAAUAGCGCCUGCUAUUGGUAUUGUGAGUAUCGAUGAUGACAAGGAGGACGAUGAGGGACAUGUAGGUGGUAACAAUAAAAAAAGACACAAAAAAUGUUUUCUUUGACUUUGGACAAUGCAUCUAGCAACUUAGUGG